AUGCAUGAUAUUGCACCUGCUCAGAUAGAGGAAAUUGAUGUUACAAUUAAGCUUGCUAAUAGAGACACUAUUUCACCAGUUGGGAUUGUUAGAGAUGUUGAAGUCUUGUGUGGGAAAGUUAAAUAUCCGGCUGAUUUUCUUGUUCUUGGUUCUCCACAAGAUAACUUUUGUCCCAUUAUAUUUGGAAGACCCUUCUUGAAUACUGUUAAUGCUAGGAUAGAUUGCAAAAAAUAUGUUGUUACUAUUGGUUUGGGGGAUAUGUAUCAUGAGUUUAAUUUUGCUAAAUUUCAUAGACAACCCCAUGAUAAAGAAUUACCUAGUAAAGUGAAAUUAUUGGUCUUGCUUCUAUUGCCGUGCCUCCUAAUGAUCCUUUAG
rnacentral:rRNA from 1 species